UUCUCUCAUCCCCCUAGCUCAAUGUUUCUCAACCUUUUAAGUAGCAAGUACCCCCAACUUCUGAAAAUUUGAAUAAGUACCCUAACACUCAAUUUUCCAGGGCAUUUUAUAUUUAUAGACUAAUGUGUGCCAUAUGUUGAAAGAAGGGCUGUGUGUAUAAGGCCAUGAUAUGACAGAUAUCUGAUCUGGUGUGGGCAGGGUUGCCACCUUUCACACCAGGGAUGCACAACUCAAGUAUGUACCUGGGGUACAGGUGAUGUUGGCCAAAGCUAGGAGGGCUGAACCAACCAAGGGUUGGCCAAAGUUAGGAGGGCUUUGCGCAGCAUGCUAAAUUAUUACUGGGGAAUUUAAAGUGCUGCACAAUGCGUGGCACACCAUAUUUUUUGCUAUAGUUUUGACAGAAGGCAGGGAUGAGAGAGAGAGGAAAAGAGGGCAAGAGAGAGUGUGUUGGGGUACCCACAUACCCCCUGCCUGUAUCUCGUGUACCCCCAGGGGUACGCAUACCAUAGAUUGAGAAACUAUGGUCUAGAGGCAAAACAAAUC